rnacentral:rRNA from 1 species
UAUGAGUGCCUCAAGCGUUAUCCGGAAUCAUUGGGCGUAAAGGGUGCGCAGGCGGGACAUUAAGUCAGGGGUGAAAGACGGGUUGCUCAACAAUCGCAGUGCCUUUGAUACUGGUGUUCUUGGGUAACCUUGAGGUAGGCGGAAUGGGUGGUGUAGCGGUGAAAUGCAUAGAUACCACCCAGAAACUCCGAUUGCGAAGGCCAGCCUACUGGAAGGUCAACCGACGCUCAGG